rnacentral:rRNA from 1 species
GACGAACGCUGGCGGCGUGCUUAACACAUGCAAGUCGAACGGCAAGGCCCUGCUUUUGUGGGGUGCUCGAGUGGCGAACGGGUGAGUAACACGUGAGUAACCUGCCCUUGACUUUGGGAUAACUUCAGGAAACUGGGGCUAAUACCGGAUAGGAGCUCAUGCUGCAUGGUGGGGGUUGGAAAGUUUCGGCGGGUGGGGAUGGACUCGCGGCUUAUCAGCUUGUUGGUGGGGGAGUGGCUUACCAAGGCUUUGACGGGUAGCCGGCCUGAGAGGGUGACCGGCCACAAUGGGACUGAGAUACGGCGCAGACUGCUACGGUAGGCAGCAGGGGGGAAUAUUGCACAAUGGGCGGAAGCCUGAUGCAGCAACGCCGCGUGUGGGAUGACGGCCUUCUGGUUGUAAACCGCUUUCGCCUGUGACGAAGCGGGAGUGACGGUAAUGAGUAAAGAAGCACCGGCUAACUACGUG